rnacentral:rRNA from 1 species
CCUACGGGUGGCAGCAGUGGGGAAUAUUGCACAAUGGGGGGAACCCUGAUGCAGCGACGCCGCGUGGGUGAGGAAGUACUUCGGUAUGUAAAGCCCUAUCAGCAGGGAAGAAAAUGACGGUACCUGACUAAGAAUCCCCGGCUAACUACGUGCCAGCAGCCGCGGUAAUACGUAGGGGGCAAGCGUUAUCCGGAUGUACUGGGUGUAAAGGGAGCGUAGACGGCGUGCCAAGUCUGAUGUGAAAGGCCGGGGCUCAACCCCGGGACUGCAUUGGAAACUGGCAUGCUGGAGUGCCGGAGGGGCAAGCGGAAUUUCUAGUGUAGGAGUGAAAUCCGUAGAGAUUAGAAGGAACACCAAUAGCGUAGGCAGGUUGCUGGGACGGUUCUGACACUAAGGCACGAAAGCGUAGGGAGCAAACGGGAUUAGAUACCCGAGUAGUC